rnacentral:rRNA from 1 species
CCUACGGGUGGCAGCAGUGGGGAAUAUUGCGCAAUGGGCGAAAGCCUGACGCAGCGACGCCGCGUGAGGGAUGAAGGUCUUCGGAUCGGAAACCUCUGUCAGCAGGGAAGAACGGUCACGGGGCUAAGCAGCAGUGAAUGGACGGUACCGGCAAAGGAAGCACCGGCUAACUCCGUGCCCGCAGCCGCGGUAAUACGGAGGGUGCGAGCGUUAAUCGGAAUGACUGGGCGUCAAGCGCUCGUAGGCGGUAUGUCCAGUCAAGGGUGAAAUCCCCGCGCUCAACGUGGGAACUGCCUUUGCACCUUGCAAACUGGUGUGUGUGAGCGGAUAGUGGACUUCCAUGUGU